GAUGAACGCUGGCGGCGUGCCUAAUACAUGCAAGUCGAGCGAACAGAUAAGGAGCUUGCUCCUUUGAAGUUAGCGGCGGACGGGUGAGUAACACGUGGGUAACCUACCUAUAAGACUGGGAUAACUUCGGGAAACCGGAGCUAAUACCGGAUAAUAUUUAGAACCGCAUGGUUCUAAAGUGAAAGAUGGUUUUGCUAUCACUUAUAGAUGGACCCGCGCCGUAUUAGCUAGUUGGUAAGGUAACGGCUUACCAAGGCGACGAUACGUAGCCGACCUGAGAGGGUGAUCGGCCACACUGGAACUGAGACACGGUCCAGACUCCUACGGGAGGCAGCAGUAGGGAAUCUUCCGCAAUGGGCGAAAGCCUGACGGAGCAACGCCGCGUGAGUGAUGAAGGGUUUCGGCUCGUAAAACUCUGUUAUUAGGGAAGAACAAAUGUGUAAGUAACUGUGCACAUCUUGACGGUACCUAAUCAGAAAGCCACGGCUAACUACGUGCCAGCAGCCGCGGUAAUACGUAGG
rnacentral:rRNA from 1 species